GGUUAUACAAGGGUUUUCUUAAAUUUUUUAGGUUAGCAAUAAUGGUAAAAUUAGUAGAAUAAUCUAUAGCGUUUUAUUUAAGUACUUAAUUGUAAUGUAAUUUAUUAAUAAAAUUUUUGUAAGGAACUCGGCAAAUAUACCYUUAAACUGUUUAUCAAAAACAUUUCUUUAAGUAAGGUUUUAAAGUAAGUUCUGCCCCCUGAUCUUUUAAUUAAAUGGCCGCAGUAGCCUGACUGUGCUAAGGUAGCAUAAUCAUUUGGUUCUUAAUUGGGAUCUGGUAUGAAGGAAUAAAUUARGGGUAGCUGUCUAUGAAAAUGUUUUGAAAUUAAAUUUUUAGUAAGAAUGCUAGAAUNAUAAUAGUGGGACGAUAAGACCCUAUAAAGCUUUACUGNUAAUAUAGUAGAAAUUUUUACUAAUUUUANNUUAUUAAWCAGUUUUACUGGGGCGGUAGCUAAUUUAACUUAGUUUAACUUAAUAGCUUUUAGAUCCCUUAUUGAGGAAAAUAAGAUUAAGUUACUUUAGGGAUAACAGCAUAAUAUACUURUGGAGUUCUAAUCGAAGAGUAUGAUUAUGACCUCGAUGUUGAAUUAAUUUUAUUGUAAGGUGUAGCAGCUUUAUUAAUUAGUCUGUUCGACUAUUAAAUGAUUACGUGAUUUGAGUUCAAACCGGUUUAAGCCAGGUUGGUUU
rnacentral:rRNA from 1 species